rnacentral:rRNA from 1 species
UACGAAGGGGGCUAGCGUUGUUCGGAAUUACUGGGCGUAAAGCGCACGUAGGCGGAUAUUUAAGUCAGGGGUGAAAUCCCAGAGCUCAACUCUGGAACUGCCUUUGAUACUGGGUAUCUUGAGUAUGGAAGAGGUAAGUGGAAUUCCGAAGUGUAGAGGUGAAAUUCGUAGAUAUUCGGAGGAACACCAGUGGCGAAGGCGGCUUCUGGUCCAUUACUGACGCUGAGGUGCGAAAGCGUGGGGAGCAAACAGG